rnacentral:rRNA from 1 species
GACGAACGCUGGCGGCGUGCUUAACACAUGCAAGUCGAACGGAAAGGCCCUGCUUGCAGGGUACUCGAGUGGCGAACGGGUGAGUAACACGUGGGUGAUCUGCCCUGCACUUCGGGAUAAGCCUGGGAAACUGGGUCUAAUACCGGAUAGGAGCCAUUUUUAGUGUGAUGGUUGGAAAGUUUUUUCGGUGUAGGAUGAGCUCGCGGCCUAUCAGCUUGUUGGUGGGGUAAUGGCCUACCAAGGCGGCGACGGGUAGCCGGCCUGAGAGGGUGGACGGCCACACUGGGACUGAGAUACGGCCCAGACUCCUACGGGAGGCAGCAGUGGGGAAUAUUGCACAAUGGGCGCCAGCCUGAUGCAGCGACGCCGCGUGUGGGAUGACGGCCUUCGGGUUGUAAACUCCUUUCGCUAGGGACGAAGCUUUUUGUGACGGUACCUAGAUAAGAAGCACCGGCUAACUACGUG